GCGGGAUUACCCGCUGAGUUUAA
rnacentral:rRNA from 1 species